rnacentral:rRNA from 1 species
AUGCAUAAUAAAGGCGGCCACCCUUGGGUGGUUUUGGGAGAUUUUAAUGAAAUUUUAUUUUCUUGGGAAAAAGAAGGAGAGAAUGUGAGGCCCAAUGUAACGAUGAGAGAAUUUCGUAUUUGCUCGGGAGAGUGCGGCCUAGAAGAUACGUGGUGUAUUGGUGAUCUUUUCACCUGGAGGAGAGGUGAGAUUAGGGGGAGACUUGAUCGUGCGGUCUAUAAUGUGGAGUGGGCAAAUAAAUUCCCUCGAGCGGCAACCAUUAAUGAAGAACAUGUACACUCUGAUCAUCGACCACUCGUCCUGGACACUGAAUAUUAUUAUGGCAACAUGUUUAACCAGCCGAGAAACUAA